AUUUAUAUAGUUUAAUUAAAAAUAUUAAUUUUGUAAAUUAAAGAUAACUUUAAAAUGAGUUUAUAAAUA
rnacentral:tRNA from 1 species